UCAGCCCCUGCGCGCCCUGUGGAGACGUCACCACGCUGUUCCGCCCACUGGUUGGGCGGAGAGACUCCAGGGCCAAUCGCGUCCCAGAUCCUAGAGAGGCCCGCCCCCUCAGGACAUCCAUUGGAGAAUGCGAGUGUGGGGGGCAGGAGGGUGGCUCCUCUGCGGGGCUGACGAACCAGCUUAGGGCGCGAGUCCCAAGCUUUUUCGUUCCGGCUUCCAAGCUUGGAACUUGUCCGGGCAUCUCGUAAAGACAGGUCCCCGACCGAGGUCGUUGAGCUACAAUUUUGUGCUUCCUCAAUCUUCCGCGUCAGGAGUAGAAAGUUUCUAGACACGAAAGUGAAAGUGAAACGCAAAAUCCAGCCAUCAAGAGGAAAAGCCGCCUUGGAACCUGAAGAAGGCCCUCACCCUAUUCUAACUACACCCACGGUCCCUGUCUCAGCAUCAUGGAAAAGCCAUGAGCACCGUAAGGCUGGAGGCAUUGGAGGGAGAAGGGCGAGGACAAUGCAGGCGGAGCAGAGAUGGCACCAAGUAGCUCUGUGCUGCAUGGGGAAGGAACGAACAGCUCUUCCUGGAUUCCAGUCCCAUGACGUGCUGACAAACUCCUGAUGCAGACCCCCUCCAUCCAGAAGGAGGAGACCUCUUGCUAUCCAUCACCCGACCCUGAGUCAGUAAAAAUUCCCCACCUACCUCUAGCACGGCCCACUUCCCCCUCCCUUCCCCGUUCUCUUAAAAACUCCCUGCCUCCCCUCCUGGACGCGACUUCCCUGGCAUGUGAUAGCCAGACCGGAGGACCUCACUCAGAAAUUGCGCUCAAAUAAAUUGCCUGGCCCUU